UGGCGGUUUUGGUUCUGGCUUUGGCUUUGGUUUCGGUUUCGGUUUGUAGAUUGGUACGGGUGGUGGAAGCGGUUUCGGUUUCGGUUUUGGUUUGUAGAUUGGGACGGGUGGUGGAAGCGGUUUAGGUUUUGGCUUUGGCUUUGGCUUGUAGAUUGGGACAGGUGGUGGGAGCGGUUUAGGUUUGUAGAUUGGGAUGGGUGGUGGAAGCGGUUUUGGUUUUGGCUUUGGUUUGUAGAUUGGGACAGGUGGUGGAAGCGGUUUUGGUUUUGGCUCUGGCUUGUAGAUUGGGACAGGUGGUGGUUUUGGUUUUGGUUUAUAGAUUGGGACAGGUGGCGGAAGCAUCACUGGUGGCUUUGGUUUUGGUUCGUAGAUUGGGACGGGUGGCGGAAGCGACACCGGUGGCUUUGGUUUUGGUUUUGGUUCGUAGAUUGGGACAGGUGGCGGAAGUGUCACUGGUGGCUUUGGUUUUGGUUCGUAGAUUGGGACGGGUGGCGGAAGCGACACCGGUGGCUUUGGUUUUGGUUUUGGUUCGUAGAUUGGGACAGGUGGCGGAAGCGUCACUGGUGGCUUUGGUUUUGGUUCGUAGAUUGGGACGGGUGGCGGAAGUGACACUGGUGGCUUUGGUUUUGGUUCGUAGAUUGGGACGGGUGGCGGAAGUGACACUGGUGGCUUUGGUUUUGGUUCGUAGAUUGGGACGGGCGGU
rnacentral:lncRNA from 1 species